UUAAAUUGAAGAGUUUGAUCAUGGCUCAGAUUGAACGCUGGCGGCAGGCCUAACACAUGCAAGUCGAGCGGUAACACA
rnacentral:rRNA from 1 species